CCUAUUGUCAAAGUAAGGUCAUGAUAUCUUUAAAAACAACGAAGGGGGGCCAUGUUGAAAAAAUCCAAUAAAAGGGGGAUAACUUCUACAGGGGAUGAUGAAAUCCUUAACAGGGUCAUGUGGUAAUACUUCAUGAUGAUGUCUAUCGAUGGUCCAUAUUUGGUCUUGAUAACUUCAACAGAAACGGGGGGAGGGCAUUCCCAAAAAAAUGUUGGAAGAAAAAAAAGAAAAAAAAAAAAAGAAAAAGAAAAAAAAAAAAAAAAAGAAAAAAAAAAAACAUUAGAAAAACAAUAAGGUCUUUCCUAACGGAGUGGAAAGACCUUAAAAAAAACACUAG